rnacentral:lncRNA from 1 species
GUCACAGAUCAGGGUAAUGAGCACAUGCCCCAGCCCUGUCGAAGAAAACAUGUUGCCGCGGUCUCUUCCUAUCUGCCAGCGUCGCUGCAGGGGUGUUGCCGUCAUGAAAUCAUUGCAGCCUUCCUGUAGGCCUGGACCAGUAUGCCUGGGGCCUGAGCUGAUGAGACCAUCCUCUUCUGGAGAGCAAGAGAAACCAAACACCGAAAAAGACCAAAGAUGUGGUAGAAAAGGUGUUUCAAAUGGAAAAACGUGAAAGGCAUUGGACUUUACAAGUUUGGGAUGCGGUCUUCCACUUUUACUUGAUGACCCUUUAGAUAUACUGCUUGUUUUAUGAGAACGGUGUAAGGAAGAAAAUUGUGGAGUGACCUGUAAGUUCAUCACAUGGGAUGAUCAUCAUGAGCCCAGAACAGUACUGCACUGGCCAGCUGAACUUUGCAAAGGCACUGAGGAGUUUUAAACACCCAGACCCACCGCUUAUACGUAGAAACCGGGCAUUCCAUUUCCUAGACAGACAUGUGAGUCUGAU